GACAGCGUGCCAGAGUGGUUAAUGGGUUAGACUUGAAUUGCAUAAUUCAGUCAUCUAAUGGCUUCGGCCGCACAGGUUCGAUCCCUGUCGCUGUCG